AUGGCAGGCAGCCAACCAGGCGAAAGCAACGGCGGUGCCACGGAUUCCAUCCUUACCGUUGCCGGACAGAUGAAGCCGUUUCCUGCGUACGCUAUUAGCCUGUUCCGCGACUACGACCUCGAGGGCGUCACGGCCGCGUUGGCCAAAGUUGUCAAUUGCUCGUACGAGGUACAGAUGGAAGCCUUCACUAAGGCUCUGGAACAGUCCAAGUAUUCUGGUGCCAUUGGAGCAUUCCCCAACGAAGGCAAGGCCAAGGACGAGGAAGAGGAUGAAGAUGAGGAGGGCGUGGUGGAUGAAGAUGAGGAGGACGUGGUGGAUGAAGAUGAAGACGACGAGGUGGAUGAAGAUGAGGAGGACCGUGAAGAUGAAGAUGAUGAGAUACUGACGUUUCAAGUCCCUUAUGAAGGCGAACGAGAGCGCAAGAAGCCAAGACUAGCAGAAGGCUUUGGGUGCCAGGCUGAGGCUGACGUUUAG
rnacentral:rRNA from 1 species